rnacentral:lncRNA from 1 species
CGCACUUCAUAGUCUCCGACGCACCUCCAAACCCUUUCUCCUGCUCUAGGCCCAGCGCCUUGGACGUGCACAGUAGAUCCCUCCCGGCUUCCCGGCUUCCCGUCUCGUCACCCUCUGCUCAGAACCUGAGGACGCAGCCAUGGAGCGGUCGGCCUUCAUGGAGCUGGAUGCUGGGAGCAGGCUGGUGAUGCAUCUCCGCGAGUGGCCAGCCCUGCUGGUCAGCAGCACGGGCUGGACAGGUCUGCACGACCCCUGGAACACUUGGGAGUUUGAACAACUUACUCUUGAUGGACACAACCUUCCUUCUCUUGUCUGUGUGAUAACAGCAGGGUCGGUGGACCUGGGUGUCUGUCUGCACAUGUCCUCCAGUGGCCUGGACCUGCCCAUGAAGGUGGUGGACAUGUUCGGGUGCUGUUUGCCUGUGUGUGCCGUGAACUUCAAGUGUUUACAUGAGCUGGUGAAACAUGAAGAAAAUGGCCUGGUCUUUGAGGACUCAGAGGAACUGGCAGCUCUGCAGAUGCUUUUCUCAAACUUUCCUGAUCCUGCAGGCAAGCUAAACCAGUUUUGGAAGAACCUGCGGGAGUCGCAGCAGCUCCGAUGGGAUGAGAGCUGGGUGCAGACUGUGCUCCCUUUGGUUAUGGACAUACAACUCCUGGGCCAGAGGCUAAAACCCCGGGACCCCUGCUGUCCUUCCCGCAGCUUCUUCUCGGAGUCUCAGGGCAAACCCUUUUGAGCAGCGCCUCCCAGUGGCCAGAAGCUGAAAUGACGGCAGUGGUGCCGCCUGGUGAAUGAAUUGGUUCUGUGACCCGG